rnacentral:rRNA from 1 species
ACGGCUCAGUAACACGUGGAUAACCUGCCCUUGGGACCGGCAUAACCCCGGGAAACUGGGGAUAAUUCCGGAUACCGCAUAUAUGCUGGAAUGCUUUAUGCGUGAAAUGGAUUCGUCUGCCCAAGGAUGGGUCUGCGGCCUAUCAGGUAGUAGUGGGUGUAAUGUACCUACUAGCCUACAACGGGUACGGGUUGUGAGAGCAAGAGCCCGGAGAUGGAUUCUGAGACAUGAAUCCAGGCCCUACGGGGCGCAGCAGGCGCAAAAACUUUACAAUGCGGGAAACCGUGAUAAGGGGACACCGAGUGCCAGCAUCAUAUGCUGGCUGUCCAGGUGUGUAAAAUACACCUGUUAGCAAGGGCCGGGCAAGACCGGUGCCAGCCGCCGCGGUAACACCGGCGGCCCGAGUGGUGAUCGUGAUUAUUGGGUCUAAAGGGUCCGUAGCCGGUUUGGUCAGUCCUCCGGGAAAUCUGACAGCUCAACUGUUAGGCUUUCGGGGGAUACUGCCAGACUUGGAACCGGGAGAGGUAAGAGGUACUACAGGGGUAGGAGUGAAAUCUUGUAAUCCCUGUGGGACCACCUGUGGCGAAGGCGUCUUACCAGAACGGGUUCGACGGUGAGGGACGAAAGCUGGGGGCACGAACCGGAUUAGAUACCCGGGUAGUCCCAGCCGUAAACGAUGCCCGCUAGGUGUCACGACGGUCGUGAAUCGUCGUGGUGCCGUAGGGAAGCCGCGAAGCGGGCCACUUGGGGAAGUACGGGCCGCAAGGCUGAAAACUUAAAGGAAUUGGCGGGGGAGCAC